UAGAAAAAUAUAAGCGUUGAACGUUGAACGGAUCAAUAAUAAUCUGCUCAAAUUUACUUCUAUUCAACUUUAUGUUAAAACUGCCGUGUGUGUCACUAAUGUGCAUGGUAUAAUAUGAUAGCAUACAUAAUACAUCAUAAAUCGUCUGUCUCUCUUUACUCGGAAUUUAAACAUGAAUUGGCUCAAUUUAUAUUUAUUUAGGCCGAUCGCGGAAUUAUUCAUAAGUCAUUUAUAUCUUAUUUCAUACAAAAGAAUCAGCUAACCUUCUUCAGCAAUAUAUUCUCACCGUUGAAAGUAUGAGUAUGAUCAAUAUUUUCGCAUUUGAUUGUAUGUAAACUAUACUAUAUAAAAAUGCUUUAUUAAGCGACCAAUCUUCUUAAUUUUACAAAAAAAAUACCAGCAUUAUUAUUCAAAAAUAUAAAUAAGAUCUGGACAUUGCACAGCAUAUUAACUUUAUUUCAAGACAUUUUUUGUGGAGGAUGAAACGUAAGCUUUUAUUAAUUAGACAUUACAUCGAGAACAUACAGAUAAAUAUUCGGGAGUGAAUUUUAAUACUUUCUCAAUAUUUAUUAUACAUGUAAUGAUAUUUCUUUAUCUAGGAAGUCUGACAAUUGAUAAGUUUGAACUGAUUUUCCUGUCAGUUGCUUGCUUUUAAAUGCAAUUCAAAGAAAACAAUAAAUAUACGCACAUGUCCAUGCGGUUUAGAAUGUCGCUGAUUAUUUUGUUUCAAAUUUUUAUUUUACCUAACGACUAUCGUGAACUAUUUAUAACUACCAUUAAUACUAUGAUAUAAUAAAUGCAAAUGGAUCGAUUUUAUCUGUUAUCUCUUUUUUCAUGUUUUUUUUUUUCUUUUUUCUUUUCUUUUAUGCAAAAUGAAGAUAUAUUUAAUUAUAUGAAAUGUGAAGUUGACAGGUAACAGGUUUUCGUUUCCUUAUUUCCAGCGGUCUAGACACAACAACAUGGUUAAUAGGUUUCGGCAAGAUAUUUGUCCCUCUUGGUUUGUGCCAUUGCUGUGAUAGAUUUGUACAACUUUGCUGGUCUGGAAUUUGUUAAACUUAAUUGUGGAUGUGAUUCAAUGAGCCUUAUGAUAUGCGAGAAAUGUCCGGCCGCACUGAAACAAAAUUAAUAAGACUACCGAAUGUUCAAAAUUUGUAAGUUUGUACGCAAAAAUUAGUACAGAAAUAUACACGAAGCGUGGACAUAUGUUAAUUUUUAAGACAGCUGCGUGGUAUUUUACAAAUAUAUGUUAUAAUAAAAUGGGAACAAUUAAUUUGAUUGAUAUCACAGCGGUGAUCGACAGAUCCGCAAUCAGUGGCAACAGCAGCGCGAGCGCAAAACAUACUUGUAAAAUGAGAAGAGUAGAGCAUUACGCAACGUUAAUAAAGAGCUAUUGAAGCAAUUAAUAAAUUUCUUUAUCUAUUGAAAAUGUUAUCUAGAUGUAAGAAAUCACUUACACCAUGUGUGACUGCACAUGGUGUUUGAUAUUGUGUCGUAUUAGCCUAGCGUGGAAGUACAGUCUCUACGACAGAAGUGGACAUAAUAUUUUGAUCAAAUAAAUUUAUAUAAUAAUCUAAGACUUUAUUUCUUUUCAAAUGUUGCUGAUAAGAUAACUAUGAUUAUGAUUAUACCAUGAAUCUGCAUAAGGACGCAACACUUUUCCUGCCAGCAAUAUCUUGCGAAACACGGAAAGUGUUCUUUCUUUGAGAACGCCAGCAUUUGGCGCUAACUUUUAAAGUGGUUUCUUCUGAGUCAACCUUAAUGUCAUGUACAUAACAUUUAGUAAAACAAUUAGGCCUCUUUGACAGUUAUUUUGAUGCAUUUUUGUUCACAAUUUGAUAAGUUUUUCACAUAGAAAUCAUCUGAAAUACUUUCUAGCGAGUCAAUCGCUAAUGUACAUUAAUCCGCCUUUUUGAAAGAAGCUUGUGGGAAGCAGCAACAUAACUGAGGGGCGGAGUUUAUUGAUCGGUUUACGGAUCCAUGCAAUUAUCUGAUUAAUGUGGAUACUUUUCACUGUCCGAAGGUUUAAAGGUCAUCUUUCGUACAACGGUAUUCAUAUUUUAAGAACAAAACAACGCUUUACAGAAAACAUUUUCAAGGAUAUUAGCAUCAAUUCUUAAAAGGACGUAUGCACCAUUUUAAGAAAGGAAACGUAAAAUAUAUCAAGGUUACUGGUGGUUAAUAUGAGCUGAAAAGAAAGCAACAGACCAGUAGUAAUAAAGAAAUCACAGCUGAGGUCGCUGUGGUUGAAUGGACAAAGAAAAUGGUGUUUAUUGGAAUUCUUGCUGAUAAAGGUGAUCAAAGGAGAUAUACCUCUACCUCAUAGUACCAGUUUUGUUGAUGAGAAUUUACUCAAUGAAUAUUUCAAAAAACACUCGAUAUUCUGAAAAUAGAUAUAGAAGGAUGGGAAUGGAAAGUUCUUGCAGAUAUACUGUUGUCUCGACAAUUUGAGUGUGUGAAACAACUUGCCAUAGAAGUUCAUUUUGGACUACAGAUUAACCAUACAGCAGGGUUAAAGAAUUCUCUCGAAUUAACUGGGGUUUCGUUUCAACGAAUGAACAAAUAGAUGUCCUAAAAAACUGCAGACGUUUGGCUUUAAGAUAUUUAAAAGGAAAGCAAACCCUUUAUCAAAGGUUUUUAAAAAGAUUUUGUAGAGUGAUAACAACUCUUCACGUUUGAUCGUUAUUAAAUCUCGAUUUUGACCCUAGUAAAUGUCAGAUCUAAAACGAUGAUGAUAAAAAUCCAUAAUUUGUGUCUUUUAAAGAAAUCAUAGACUUAGUAAUAAUAUAUAUAAAUUCUCCUAAUCACAAGAACAAUCCAUUUUAUAAACUAAAUUUUAAUGACAUGAUUUAUGGUUAAAAAUGGGUGUUUUAAUGGUAUUUUAACAUGUAACCCAUUAAUAUUGUGCAACCUGUUAAAUAAAGUGAUGCAAUAAUUAAUGGGGUUAAUUAACGGUUUUUCCUAUUUUAAUGGAUAUUUAACAGGGUUUUUAACCAUGUUUAAUGGUAUUUGCAUCCAGUAGUGUAUGACCCAAACAGUGUUGGUACCCCUUCCCCACCUAUUUUUUUUUUUAUAUAUAAGUGAAUUUUACAUAGGUUAGUCUCAAAAGAAACAGCCCUUUUCUUAAAUUCUGUAAUUCUCACUCGAGUAUGAAAGUGAUCUAUUCGAAAUACCUUAGUGUGUCUAAAUAAUUUUAUAAAUACGCUAUAUUCUAAUAAAAUGAUAAUAGUUCGUAAUAUUAACCGCGAAAUAUAUUUUCUAAAAAUAGACUUCGGUUUACGUCUCUGUACAAAACCGACGGGGAUUAGGAAAAACGACCACACAAAUAAAAGCAAAAAUUAUAAUUAAAGCUAUUCAGUGAACAAUUCGGUAUUUAAGCUUUUAGCAUGUCUUUUCAUUUAUUAAUCAUUCUUGAUAAAAACAAUCCUGUGACAUGUUUUCAUCGUCUGUAGUAAAAGCAGAAAACAUUGGAAGAAAUAAUGAGAUCCUAUUAUUCACCCGGUGUAAGGUUUUGAGCAUGUUCAAAAUUUGGAACAUACACCACCGGACAAGUUGUCCGUUAGAUGACAGAUGUACGGUAGCAAUGAGUCUGAUUCACGGCCGGAAUACUACCGGACAUGUAACUGACAAGGAAGGCAUAUGAACUGAUAAAUAACGGACGUGAAACGAUGGUCCAUUGGACAAACUGAUGAAUUUUGAUAUAAAACGUGGUUUUAUUGGCCAUGACUCAUAUACUAUGGUUGUUGAGGUUAUCUGCUUUCACUGGAUCUUUUGACUACAAGUCACCAGGCCUGUGGUCGUCUGUAUAUCCAGUUAACUUUCAUAUGUCUUUUUGCACUUCAUGGGUAAGGACCUUUCGAAACUUUGUUUUUCUGAGUUCAUUGAUCAACAUAUAAUUGAGUGUCGGAACAAAAAAAAAUUAGAUACCGGACUCCUUAUACCCGUUCUGUGCGUCACGUGACCGGUAGGAAUACAUUCGUCAAACGUUUUGUCAGUGUCUCAUGCGUUGCGCUUACGCUUUAUGCGGUACAAGUCCUUUACUAGUGUGGUGAUAUCCGUUAAUUGAACGUUGUUCGUCCUGUAUGUGUGCGUUGAUCUUGCGGUCACUGCGCGUUUUGUCCGUUUUAUGCGCCCAAUACACCGACCGCAAGAGCACCGAGCAGACGCGGGGGAUGCCUUUCGUCACCGUAUAACUUUCUGCCGCAUAUUUUUCUAUACGACGCUAUACGGUGUAAUGUGACGGACACAUCUGCAGCAGAUUUCAUUCUAUAUAUAGAGCGUGAUGUCACACAUUCCGUCUGACCUCUAUACUAGGAACUGAUAACUUGCCGAUUUUAGAUAAUUGUACAUACACUAAAAUAUAGUCCCGUGGAGGAGGUAAAAUUUUCAGAAUUUAAUUUUUUUGCAUGUUAUUACAAAAAAAUGAGUAAUUAUGAUUACUUAAUCUUUUUAAACCUUUAUCUUGCUCUGACUCGUGUUAUAGAAUUUUUUUUGGACAAAAAGGGAAAUCUACUUUCACUUUCCUAUACUAUAGUAUUGCAACGCAAUAUGUAAUAUUAAAUAUAGAUUGGAAGAUUAAGAUACCAUGAGAUCAAUGUCUUAAACGUCUUAAUGAUGCACAAAUAGAGUGCUGAAGUCAUGUCAUCAAGAAGGAAUACUUUGUGGCCUGAUAUACCAGCUGGCACCCCAUGUCAAUGUACAUGUAUAUCAUACUAGUACUCUGUUAAAGCGUUAAUAACCAAACACUUUCUCUAAGUUUACAUAGACCUAUUGCAAUUCUGAUUAUCUAGUCCUUCCCUUGGUGCACCACUGACAGUUAGACAAAAGAGAAAGUGAUUUCUCUGCUACUACUAACUGGAAAUGCUAAAAAGUACUUGUUGUUUGUAUAAAUCAUGGACAAUGUAAUACUGACGGGAUUUAAGUUUUCAACAUCGCUAUCAUUAGUGAAAAACAACCGCCUUUGAAAAUUCCAUAUAUUGAUUAAAGUUCACACACACUAUGUUGCAGUCUAACUUUUAUUAAUAAACAGGCCUACUAAACUUUGGUGACAUAUCAAACAAAUACACUUCAGGUAAACAUAUAAAAUCCUAAGCACAGACAACUUCAAUACAAUAUAAUCAAUAGUUAAAAUAAGGUCAAGUGGUAUAUUACAUGACUAUAGACAUUGAUAGUCACUGUUAUUCUCAAAUAUUAGACAUGUCAUAAAACACAAACUAUGGGCCAGAUAUUUAUGUAAGAGUCGUGUAAUAUUACUAAUGAUUAUUAAUAUUAUAACUGGUACACACAUUAAAACAUUUUAUCAGAUCAGUAAGAGGAAAAUGGGUAAUACAGUCAUAACUAAAUGAAAAUAAUAACUAGAAUGUAAACGUUGUAUAUAUAUAUAUAAACUAUUAAUAAAAGAUGUUUAAUAUGUUUCUAGAUUUUGUUCAAUGUUUUAAUGUGAUAGUAUUUCACACAAGAAUUCUAUUUCCCAGGCUAGUUGUAAAAUAUUUGGUUCAUUUAUCUCUCAGAAAGUAUGUUUAAUUUCUAAUAUUUGACCAAGAAUUAUCUCCAUCUUUUUUACAUUUUCCAACCAAAACUUUUAGUAAAUAUUAUGUCAACCAUACCAUUUAAAACACAAAGCAAUAUGUUUAAAUUAAGUCCCUUUCUUCUGAAAUGGAAUUUAUUCAUAAUUUAUUUUGAUACAAAAAUAAGUGUCCCUUAGUUUCAAAAGAUUCCAUUAUUUCUAUCGCUACAAUUUUUUGACAGCUCACCAUACAAGGAUUAUGUACAGAGACCUUUAAAUUACAAAUAAUGUAAUAUACUGAUGCUAGUAUCUUGCUCAUUAUUCAUCUAAAGUAGACUAAUGAGUUUGAUUACUCUUGAAAUUACCACAGAAAUGUUUGUACAAUAAAGCAAACAUGUCCAGGUUUACAUUAACUAUUGACCUGCAGUUUAAAAACAUGGGACAUGCCUGUUUCCCAGUUAAAAACAAGAGCUGUCAC
rnacentral:lncRNA from 1 species